UAGGAGGACAUACAAUUUGUUUCCUUAGGAUUGACACUGUCUCCCACAGUAUUCUCCUGGAGAAACUGGCAGCCCGUGGCUUGGACAGGUACACCCUUUGCUGGGUAAGGAGCUGGCUGAAGGGCCGGGCCCAGAGAGCGGUGGUGAAUGGAGUUAAAUCCAGCUGGCGACCGGUCAUGAGUGGUGUUCCCCAGGGGUCGGUGCUGAGGCCUGUCCUCUUCAAUAUCUUUAUUGAUGACCUGGAUGAGGGCAUUGAGAGCACCCUCAGUAAGUUUGCAGACGACACCAAGCUGGCAGGAAGUGUCGAUCUGCCUGGGGGUAGAGAGGCCCUACAGAGAGAUCUGGACAGGCUGGAUCUCUGGGCUGAAGCCAACGGGAUGAGGUUCAACAAGACCAAGUGCCGGGUCCUGCACUUCGGCCGCAACAACCCCAGGCAACGCUACAGGCUUGGAGCAGAGUGGCUGGAUGGUUGUGUGGAGGAAACGGACCUGGAGGUAUUAGUUGAUGCUCAGCUGAGCAUGAGCCAGCAGUGUGCCCAGGUGGCCAAGAAGGCCAAUGGCAUCCUGGCUUGUAUCAGAAAUAGUGUUGCCAGUAGGAGUAGGGAAGUCAUUGUCCCUCUGUACUCAGCCCUAGUGAGGCCCCACCUUGAGUACUGUGUCCAGUUUUGGGCCCCUCACUGCAAGAAAGACAUUGAGGCCCUGGAGCGUGUUCAGAGGAGGGCGACGAAGCUGGUGAGGGGUCUGGAGCACAGGCCUUAUGAGGAGCGGCUGAGGGAGCUGGGAUUGUUCAGCCUGGAGAAGAGGAGGCUCAGGGGGGACCUCAUCGCUCUCUAUAAUCACCUGAAGAGAGGUUGUAGUGAGCUGGGGGUCGGCCUCUUCUCUCUUGUAACUAGUGACAGGACGAGGGGGAAUGGCUUCAAGUUGCGCCAGGGGAGAUUUAGGCUGGACAUUAGGAAAUACUGCUUUUCUGAAAGAGUGGUCAGGCGCUGGAAUGGGCUGCCCAGGGAGGUGGUUGAGUCACCGUCCCUGGAGGUGUUCAAGAAAUGUUUAGAUAUAGCGUUGAGAGACAUGGUUUAGUGGGGUUGUUGGUGGUAGGUGGAUGGUUGGACUAGGUGAUCUUGUAGGUCUUUUCCAACCUGGCUAAUUCUA
rnacentral:lncRNA from 1 species